rnacentral:rRNA from 1 species
GCCGCGCUCGCCGGGUCGGCGCCGCUCCUGUCGCUCCGGCUGGGCGCGCGCCGGGCGCUGGUCGUGUCAACACACGCCGCGGCCGAGGAGUGCUUCACGGCGCACGACGCCGCGCUGGCAGGGAGGCCGCAGCUGCUCGUCGCGGAGCACCUUGGGUACGGCCGCACCACCAUCUCGUGGGCCUCCGACGGUGCCCACUGGCGCGGCCUGCGCCGGUUCCUCGCCGUCGAGCUCUUCUCAACCUCCCGCCUCGCCGCGCUUGCCUCCGACCGCCGUGCCGAGGUCGCGUCCCUCGUCCAGAACCUGCUCCACGACACCAGCGCAAGCGCCAGUGGUGGGGUUAUCACCCUCCGGAACAGGCUGUUCGAGCUGGUGCUCAACGUGAUGCUGCACGCGCUCACCACGCGCCGGCACGCCGGCGACUUGCGCAGAUUCCAGGAGAUUGUGGAGGAGACAUUCGUGGUGAGCGGCACGCCGAGCAUCGGGGACUUCUUCCCGGCGCUGCGAUGGGUCGACCGUCUCCGCGGCGUUGAGGCGGCGCUUGCAGGCCUACAGACAAGGCGUGACGCCUUCGUUGCUGGCCUCAUCAAUAACCGCCGGCAAAUGCGCAGCGCCGGUGGCCGAGACGUGGAGAAGAAGGGCGUAAUCGACGUGCUCUUGGAGCACCAAGAAGUCGAUCCCGGGUAUUACACUGACACCGUCGUCAAAGGCAUCGUCUUGGUAAUGCUCACGGCCGGCACCGAUACAUCGGCGCUAACCACCGAGUGGGCGAUGGCGCUGCUGCUGAAGCACCGUGAGGUGAUGGCGAAGACGAGGGCCGAGAUAGACGCCAAUGUCGGCAUGAGCCGACUGGUUGAGGAGUCGGACAUCACCAACCUACCUUACCUGCAAUGCGUUGUCAAGGAGACCCUUCGACUCUGCCCCGUCGGCCCAGUCAUCCCAGCACACGAGGCCAUGGAGGACUGCACCGUGGGUGGCUUCCAUGUGCAGCGUGGCACGAUGAUCCUCGUGAACGCAUGGGCGAUCCACCGGGACGCCAAUGUCUGGGAUGCACCAGAGGAGUUCAGGCCAGAGAGGUUCUUGGGCAGAGACGCGGUCACCAUGCCCAUGCUGCCGUUCGGGUUUGGCAGGAGGCGAUGCCCCGGUGAGGGGCUGGCAAUGCGAGUCGUAAGCUUGACACUGGCAGCACUCCUGCAGUGCUUUGAGUGGGAUGUUGGUGAAGGCGAUACCAUCGACAUGGCUGAAGGUGGUGGACUGACAAUGCCAAUGGCGACGCCAUUGGCGGCUGUCUGCCGGCCCCGGGAGUUUGUCAAGAGUGUGUUCUGUGCUUCCAUUUGA